rnacentral:rRNA from 1 species
CCUACGGGUGGCUGCAGUGAGGAAUAUUGGUCAAUGGGCGCGAGCCUGAACCAGCCAAGUAGCGUGAAGGAUGACUGCCCUACGGGUUGUAAACUUCUUUUAUAAAGGAAUAAAGUGAGGCACGUGUGCCUUUUUGUAUGUAUUUUAUGAAUAAGGAUCGGCUAACUCCGUGCCAGCCGCCGCGGUAAUACGGAGGAUCCGAGCGUUAUCCGGAUUUAUUGGGGUGAAAGGGAGCGUAGAUGGGUUGUUAAGUCAGUUGUGAAAGUUUGGGGCUCAACCGUAAAAUUGCAAUUGAUACUGGCAGACUUGAGUACAGGUGAGGUAGGCGGAAUUCGUGGUGUAGCGGUGAAAUGCUUAGAUAUCACGAAGAACUCCGAUUGCGAAGGCAGCCUACUAAACUGCCACUGACAUUGAUGCUCGAAAGUGUGGGUAUCAAACAGGAUUAGAUACCCUAGUAGUC